rnacentral:lncRNA from 1 species
CUUGGUUCCUGGCUAUCUGAGACUUUGUUCAACCUGAUGGAGAAACUGGCAUCCAGAGAAGUGAUGUGUUUUGCCACGUCAAGCUCUCUUCCCUCUUCAUCCCAACUUCUUGGCUUCUCUGCCUUUUUUCAUGUGUCAGCAAAAAUCCCACCUUCUUCAAGAGGACUUUUCCAGACCUUCAUUUCAGUACUAAAGAAAAAAAAGUAGCAGCUAAUAAAUAGAUUGAAACUCUUCAAAGACUAUUUAAAGGGAGAAAAAUCACUACUGUUGGCCAAGAACAAGUUCUGAAAUAGGUAUUGAGGACCUGGAAGAGAAAUCAAUUUGGUGAUACAUUUGUACCAGAACACAGUUAAAGGGAAGCCUUUUUCCAGUGUGAAAUAAGCAAACCGAGAAGAAAGACCUAUCCAAGCAGAAAGUGAAUUAAGAUCCUAUUCCAAGUGGCUCACCUCCUUUCUUCAUUUUCCCUAACAAAGUAAAAAAAAAAAGGGCAAUCAAUAUUUGCUAUGAAUUCCUG